rnacentral:snoRNA from 1 species
AAGAUUGAUGAUGAUGAUUUAAUCUCGCAGAUUCUUUCUGGGCUCGACAGCGACUACAACCCGUUCAUGUCUGCAAUCUCGGCCACAACUGCUCGAGG